UCUUUUUUGUGUAUGUUGCCCCAAUGACAAGGAUCAGAGGAAUGACCAGGAAGGAAAGCAUCGCAACUUGCCAGCAGCUGAUAAAUGCAAUUAUGAUGCCGGCAAAGAAGGUGGAGAAGCUUGCAACGAAAUGACCCAGCUGCAGAAAAGUGAACUUAGAUACAGUGGUCAAGUCAGUAUCAAAAGCCCCUACCUCUUGGUUGAGGACUGAUCUCAGAAAUGCUAGCCGCAUGCGUGCUAGCUGUCUCUCACUUGAGUAUAUCCAGCAGGAGAUCUCUGCAGUUAAUUCAUUGGAGAAAAAGGCUGCUGCUGUUUGCGACGGGGAGGCGCACCGACAGCUGGUUGGUUCUGAGAGGGUCGUUUCUACCAUAUAUUUGAACUUUUUCUGAGAGCACCAAAUCGGUUCAUUGUCCGAAUUCGGCACAAACACCUCGACUUUACAGCUUACCAGCGGUUCCCAGCUCCUGGAGCUCGGAAGGUCAAUUGGAUGCUGGAAAGGAGACACGUACUUGGCUGGACUGCUGGAGUGCUUCUGUUGGAUACAUCUGCUAACCUGAUCAGCUUUGGAACGCGGCUCUUGGACGUGGCAGCAGCAUAUGCUACCGUUUUUUUUUUUUGGAGUGCAUCCAGGUACCGAGAUCAAGUGUUGUCAUCUCAUAAUCCGAAUGAUCAUGUAACUAUCGUUCAUGGGAUAACCGGAGAAUAUGCGCAUGCCAUGAAUGACCCGUUCAAAAAACGGCCUGUUUAAAUAAUUUCAAAUAUCUUUAUGUGUGUA